rnacentral:rRNA from 1 species
GAGAACUCGGGAGAAGGAACUCGGCAAAUUGACACCGUAACUUCGGAAGAAGGUGUGCCUUUAGUAGGUGAAGUCCCUCGCGGAUGGAGCCCAAUGGGGUUGCAAAGAAUCGGUGGCUGCGACUGUUUAAUAAAAACACAGCACUCUGCAAACACGAAAGUGGACGUAUAGGGUGUGACGCCUGCCCGGUGCUGGAAGAUUAAGUGAUGGGGUGCAAGCUCUUGAUCGAAGCCCCAGUAAACGGCGGCCGUAACAAUAACGGUCCUAAGGUAGCGAAAUUCCUUGUCGGGUAAGUUCCGACCUGCACGAAUGGCGUAACGAUGGCCACACUGUCUCCUCCCGAGACUCAGCGAAGUUGAAAUGUUUGUGAUGAUGCAAUCUCCCCGCGGAAAGACGGAAAGACCCCAUGAACCUUUACUGUAGCUUUGUAUUGGACUUUGAACGGAUCUGUGUAGGAUAGGUGGGAGGCUUUGAAGCCGGGUCGCUAGAUCUGGUGGAGCCAACGUUGAAAUACCACCCUGGUGCGUUUGAGGUUCUAACCUAGGCCCGUUAUCCGGGCCGGGGACAGUGCAUGGUAGGCAGUUUGACUGGGGCGGUCUCCUCCCAAAGCGUAACGGAGGAGUUCGAAGGUACGCUAGUUACGGUCGGACAUCGUGACGAUAGUGCAAUGGCAUAAGCGUGCUUAACUGCGAGACUGACAAGUCGAGCAGAUGCGAAAGCAGGACAUAGUGAUCCGGUGGUUCUGUAUGGAAGGGCCAUCGCUCAACGGAUAAAAGGUACUCUGGGGAUAACAGGCUGAUACCGCCCAAGAGUUCAUAUCGACGGCGGUGUUUGGCACCUCGAUGUCGGCUCAUCUCAUCCCGGGGCUGUAGCCGGUCCCAAGGGUAUGGCUGUUCGCCAUUUAAAGAGGUACGUGAGCUGGGUUUAAAACGUCGUGAGACAGUUUGGUCCCUAUCUUCCGUGGGCGCUGCAGAUUUGAGGAAGCCUGCUCCUAGUACGAGAGGACCGGAGUGGACGCACCUCUGGUGUACCUGUUGUCACGCCAGUGGCAUUGCAGGGUAGCUAAGUGCGGAAGAGAUAACCGCUGAAAGCAUCUAAGCGGGAAACUCGUUUCAAGAUGAGAUCUGCCGGGGCCUUGAGCCCCCUGAAGAGUCGUUCUAGACCAGGACGUUGAUAGGUCAGGUGUGGAAGCGCAGUAAUGCGUUAAGCUAACUGAUACUAAUUGCUCGUGCGGCUUGACCG